GGUUAAGCGACUAAGCGUACACGGUGGAUGCCCUGGCAGUCAGAGGCGAUGAAGGACGUGCUAAUCUGCGAUAAGCGUCGGUAAGGUGAUAUGAACCGUUAUAACCGGCGAUUUCCGAAUGGGGAAACCCAGUGUGAUUCGUCACACUAUCAUUAACUGAAUCCAUAGGUUAAUGAGGCGAACCGGGGGAACUGAAACAUCUAAGUAC
rnacentral:rRNA from 1 species